CAAUUUCCUUUAUUUUCCCCUCAACUAAGGUUUUGAGCAUAAGAAAGAUGGCAGCACCGAAGCGUUUCAUGCACGAAUACUGUAUUGCAACGCCGACUCUAUCACUCGGUUCGGUGUUGCAAAUCAUCGUGUUUUUCUAUCACCCUCGGCCAAAAAGUGUUAUACGAUACAAAUUUUGCAGCGCGAAACUGUUCGAAUAUCAGAUUUUCCCAACACCGGUGUACGGCAAAUGUGUUGUGAUGUGUUGUAAACCUUCGAAAUUUCUAUCUCCAUCUCAACCAGUGAACUUGCUCUAAUAAUUAAACAUCAGUAAUUCAUCAUUGAACAGAGCUAAGCAAAUAUUGACAGCACAUGUUCAAGUCAGCCAUUUUUGUUCGAGAAAUUUUCUUAUUGAGGAGAAAAUAAAUUGGGAUCUUUUUAAAAGAUGCAUUUUUUUGGAAAUCAGCCAAUGGAGCUCCAUGGGAGUACUCCUGAGGCACUUAUUUACAUUCAAGGAAAGGCCAAUCGUAACAUAAAAUUGAACAGGAGGGACAUGAAACCCGAUAAAAAGAUUUAAAAGAUGCAUUUUUUGGAAAUCAGCCAAUGAAGCUCCAUGGGAGUGCUCCUGAGGCACUUAUUUACAUUCCGAAGAAAGGCCGAUCGCAACAUAAAAUCGAACAGGAGGGACAUGAAACCCGAUAUAUUUUGUUAUUUUGAAAGUGGGUAACAGUGCAAGUGCAAGAUUAAAGUGCAUUAAGUGUUAA